CUUUUUAUUCAUUUUCUGCUAUAUCUACUUAUAAAAUUAACUUUCAGUCGUUGAGUUAAUGAAAAAUGUCAUUGGACAUUUUUCUUAUUCCAGCUUAAUAUGCAGCCACCGAGUCAAAUGAAAUUUGGCAAAAUAACGGCUUUAACGCCACAAAGAACCGACACAUGUCGUUGUUCCUGCCAAGUUUCAGGAAGAUCAGAGAAUAAGAAAUAGGUUCACUGUACAUAAGAGUUAAAACAGUUUUUCAUAAAUGUAACGUUGGACAUCCGUUUUUUCCACAUAGCUUUGUUAUUUUAAUCCUCAAAUAUACUAGAUAUUACUUAG
rnacentral:lncRNA from 1 species